rnacentral:rRNA from 1 species
CCAGAGCCUGAAUCAGUGUGUGUGUUAGUGGAAGCGUCUGGAAAGGCGCGCGAUACAGGGUGACAGCCCCGUACACAAAAAUGCACAUGCUGUGAGCUCGAUGAGUAGGGCGGGACACGUGGUAUCCUGUCUGAAUAUGGGGGGACCAUCCUCCAAGGCUAAAUACUCCUGACUGACCGAUAGUGAACCAGUACCGUGAGGGAAAGGCGAAAAGAACCCCGGCGAGGGGAGUGAAAAAGAACCUGAAACCGUGUACGUACAAGCAGUGGGAGCACGCUUAGGCGUGUGACUGCGUACCUUUUGUAUAAUGGGUCAGCGACUUAUAUUCUGUAGCAAGGUUAACCGAAUAGGGGAGCCGAAGGGAAACCGAGUCUUAACUGGGCGUUAAGUUGCAGGGUAUAGACCCGAAACCCGGUGAUCUAGCCAUGGGCAGGUUGAAGGUUGGGUAACACUAACUGGAGGACCGAACCGACUAAUGUUGAAAAAUUAGCGGAUGACUUGUGGCUGGGGGUGAAAGGCCAAUCAAACCGGGAGAUAGCUGGUUCUCCCCGAAAGCUAUUUAGGUAGCGCCUCGUGAAUUCAUCUCCGGGGGUAGAGCACUGUUUCGGCAAGGGGGUCAUCCCGACUUACCAACCCGAUGCAAACUGCGAAUACCGGAGAAUGUUAUCACGGGAGACACACGGCGGGUGCUAACGUCCGUCGUGAAGAGGGAAACAACCCAGACCGCCAGCUAAGGUCCCAAAGUCAUGGUUAAGUGGGAAACGAUGUGGGAAGGCCCAGACAGCCAGGAUGUUGGCUUAGAAGCAGCCAUCAUUUAAAGAAAGCGUAAUAGCUCACUGGUCGAGUCGGCCUGCGCGGAAGAUGUAACGGGGCUAAACCAUGCACCGAAGCUGCGGCAGCGACGCUGAUGCGUUGUUGGGUAGGGGAGCGUUCUGUAAGCCUGCGAAGGUGUGCUGUGAGGCAUGCUGGAGGUAUCAGAAGUGCGAAUGCUGACAUAAGUAACGAUAAAGCGGGUGAAAAGCCCGCUCGCCGGAAGACCAAGGGUUCCUGUCCAACGUUAAUCGGGGCAGGGUGAGUCGACCCCUAAGGCGAGGCCGAAAGGCGUAGUCGAUGGGAAACAGGUUAAUAUUCCUGUACUUGGUGUUACUGCGAAGGGGGGACGGAGAAGGCUAUGUUGGCCGGGCGACGGUUGUCCCGGUUUAAGCGUGUAGGCUGGUUUUCCAGGCAAAUCCGGAAAAUCAAGGCUGAGGCGUGAUGACGAGGCACUACGGUGCUGAAGCAACAAAUGCCCUGCUUCCAGGAAAAGCCUCUAAGCAUCAGGUAACAUCAAAUCGUACCCCAAACCGACACAGGUGGUCAGGUAGAGAAUACCAAGGCGCUUGAGAGAACUCGGGUGAAGGAACUAGGCAAAAUGGUGCCGUAACUUCGGGAGAA